GCCGCAAUAGCUCAGCUGGUAGAGCAACUGAUUCGUAAUCAGUAGGUCGGAGGUUCGAAUCCUCUUUGCGGCA
rnacentral:tRNA from 1 species